UUGGUUAAGUUAGAAAGGGCGCACGGUGGAUGCCUUGGCACUAGGAGCCGAAGAAGGACGGGACUAACACCGAUAUGCUUUGGGGAGCUGUACGUAAGCGUUGAUCCAGAGAUUUCCGAAUGGGGGAACCCACUAUCUUUAGUCGGAUAGUAUCCUUACGUGAAUACAUAGCGUGAGGAAGGCAGACCCAGGGAACUGAAACAUCUAAGUACCUGGAGGAAGAGAAAGAAAAAUCGAUUUCCUGAGUAGCGGCGAGCGAAACGGAAAGAGCCCAAACCAAGAAGCUUGCUUCUUGGGGUUGUAGGACACUCUAUACGGAGUUACAAAAGAAAGUUAUAAAUGAAGCGGUCUGGAAAGGCCCGCCAAAGACGGUAACAGCCCGGUAGUUGAAAUGGCUUUCCCUCCAGAGUGGAUCCUGAGUACGGCGGAACACGUGAAAUUCCGUCGGAAUCCGGGAGGACCAUCUCCCAAGGCUAAAUACUCCCUAGUGACCGAUAGUGAACCAGUACCGUGAGGGAAAGGUGAAAAGCACCCCGGAAGGGGAGUGAAACAGUUCCUGAAACCGUGUGCCUACAAGUAGUUAGAGCCCGUUAAUGGGUGAUAGCGUGCCUUUUGUAGAAUGAACCGGCGAGUUACGAUUUGUUGCAAGGUUAAGCGGAAAAAGCGGAGCCGUAGCGAAAGCGAGUCUGAAUAGGGCGCAUAAGUAACAGGUCGUAGACCCGAAACCAGGUGAUCUACCCAUGUCCAGGAUGAAGGUAAGGUAAUACUUACUGGAGGUCCGAACCCACGCACGUUGAAAAGUGCGGGGAUGAGGUGUGGGUAGCGGAGAAAUUCCAAUCGAACUUGGAGAUAGCUGGUUCUCUCCGAAAUAGCUUUAGGGCUAGCCUCGAGGUAAAGAGUCAUGGAGGUAGAGCACUGUUUGGACUAGGGGCCCUUCUCGGGUUACCGAAUUCAGAUAAACUCCGAAUGCCAUGUACUUAUACUCGGGAGUCAGACUGCGAGUGAUAAGAUCCGUAGUCGAAAGGGAAACAGCCCAGACCACCAGUUAAGGUCCCCAAAUAUAUGUUAAGUGGAAAAGGAUGUGGGGUUGCUUAGACAACCAGGAUGUUGGCUUAGAAGCAGCCACCAUUGAAAGAGUGCGUAAUAGCUCACUGGUCGAGUGACCCCGCGCCGAAAAUGUACCGGGGCUAAACAUAUUACCGAAACUGUGGAUGAACCUCUUUAGAGGUUCGUGGUAGGAGAGCGUUCUAAGGGCGGUGAAGUCAGACCGGAAGGACUGGUGGAGCGCUUAGAAGUGAGAAUGCCGGUAUGAGUAGCGAAAGAAGGGUGAGAAUCCCUUCCACCGAAUAUCUAAGGUUUCCUGAGGAAGGCUCGUCCGCUCAGGGUUAGUCGGGACCUAAGCCGAGGCCGAUAGGCGUAGGCGAUGGACAACAGGUAGAGAUUCCUGUACCAGUGCUAAUUGUUUAACCGAUGGGGUGACACAGAAGGAUAGGGAAUCGCACGAAUGGAAAUGUGCGUCCAAGCAGUGAGUGUGAGAAGUAGGCAAAUCCGCUUCUCGCGAAGCAUGAGCUGUGAUGGGGAAGGAAAUUAAGUACGGAAGUUCCUGAUUUCACGCUGUCAAGAAAAGCCUCUAGGAAGAGUAGUACUGCCCGUACCGCAAACCGACACAGGUAGAUGAGGAGAGAAUCCUAAGGUGAGCGAGAGAACUCUCGUUAAGGAACUCGGCAAAAUGACCCCGUAACUUCGGGAGAAGGGGUGCUCUAUUAGGGUGCAAGCCCGAGAGAGCCGCAGUGAAUAGGCCCAGGCGACUGUUUAGCAAAAACACAGGUCUCUGCAAAACCGUAAGGUGACGUAUAGGGGCUGACGCCUGCCCGGUGCUGGAAGGUUAAGAGGAGUGCUUAGCUUCGGCGAAGGUACGAAUUGAAGCCCCAGUAAACGGCGGCCGUAACUAUAACGGUCCUAAGGUAGCGAAAUUCCUUGUCGGGUAAGUUCCGACCCGCACGAAAGGCGCAACGAUCUGG
rnacentral:rRNA from 1 species